AUAAUUUAUGUGACUGUUUACACUGUGAAACAGCAGUAGCAGUGCAUAAUUUGCAAGCCAUCUAUAGAUAGAAAUGCCUUCGUAUGAAUUAGUGGUCAAAUAAGUAGGAUUUGCUCAAAUCAGAUCAUGAAGAAUUAACAAAGAAAAACAAAGAGGCCAAAUGAAUCCAUUAAACUCCCCGUUGCAAGCAGUUCCCUCUACUCUAGUAUUUAUGAUUUCAGUGCUGCGUUGUUGGUAACCUAUCACAUUAAAAGCCAUAAUACUUUUUGUGAAAUCCAUGGUCUUAUUGCUGGGAAACUAAUCUGCACUACCAGGCACAUAGAUGUGUGGACUUAUUUGACAACAUUUCUCUUGGCACAAGAAGGACUUUGCAUUUUUGCAGGGGGGAUGGGGAAGAGUAGGCAAUGCUGGGAGUGCAACUUAAUUUCAACACUGUUUCUUUUCCUGCAGGGUUGAUAAAAAUCGUUAGUUAUGAUAUGUUAAUGCAACAUGAUUGCAUUAUAGCAUCCUGUACUGCUCUAUCUAUCUUAUUUAUUAAGCCACACCAAAUUAGAUAAUGCAAAAACAUUUCAGCCCAGUGGAAAUCUUAUCAUGUUACCUAAUGCUGUGAGCUACACUGGAAUCUAUGCCUGCUGAAGCACCACACACUCGAUGUAAAGAGGCUUGGCUGUAUUUGGUCCUGCUUACAUGCUUGCAGAACUCUUCAUUGCCCCUGUUCUGCUGCUGCCCUGGGUGUCAGGGCACAGAGGCUACCCACGUAACCUCAGCAGCCACCUUGCCCUCUCCUUCCUCCUGCCAGGAGGGUCUCCUCGCUUGUUAGCUCUGCCCCGGGAGGCUGCUGGCUUCCUUGUUAGCCUUCCUGGGCUCACAGUCGGCGUUGCCUGUCGAUGCCAGGCGGCCUCGCUUGCAGCCAUGGGUUUGGCCCCGCAGCAAUGGGGGGAAACAAGGGUGAAGGGCUGCGAGGUGAGCUGUCUGGGAGCAGGAGGAGAGAGAAGGGCUUCUGGAUUUGCCCAUCCCAAAUAGCUUAUGGAAGGUCACUGCAAAACUCAUUGACAUAAUGCUGAGCAGUUCCCUGAGGAAAGAUGUGGGAGAUGCAGUGACAAUGGUGGGUCUUUGACAUGCAGCUGAAAAGGUCACGUUAUUAAGCUGCUGAGAACAGCGGAUACAAAUCUCCACCACCCUUCAAAGCUUACUUGUGAGAAUAUUUAAAAAAACUAAAUCAACGCUGUAUUUUUUCCUGCAUGCAGGAAGCAUCAGAUCUUCUCAUAGCACAUCCCACAAAAACUGUUUCCCUCCCAUGAGAGUACACAGGGCCCUCAGACAGCCAUAAAAGUCAAGUUCCCUUGUCACUGAGGGGCACAGAACCCACCAGAACCCUCUGGAAUCACCAACAACCAUCUGGAACUGCCCGCACCCAGCUGGAACCUUCUGGAACUUCCUGGAACCGGACAGAACUGGGCGGAACUGGACGGAACCCAUCCUCAGGGAGCCCUGCAGCCGCCGCCCGGACACCUGCACGUGGCGCAGGCCCGAGGCAAGCUGCUGGGGGCAGCACAGAGCGAGGACACUGCUUCUGCCCACCCUGUCCCCACAGCUGACAAGAUGUCGCCUUCCUCUCCCCAAUGGAGCCACCCAGCAACAGCUUUUCUUCCACGUCCACAUAUUCCUUCCCAUGGCUCCCAAAGAAAAGGCUGUUUCCCUUGAGGGCAGCACAUCAGUGUAUCACCUUGCUGAGAGCACCAUUAAAGGCAGAUGUUCUCCAAGGCCAUCCACAGUUGCUGUUCACGGGUGUGAGACAGAUGCUGCUCAGCCCCGCCGUCUACAAACCAGCCUGCAGAAGAUGGAUUUCUGAGGUGAACUGUCCUGCACUGAUAAGCAUCUCUGAUAAAAAUCUGAUACUCGCUGUGUGAUCCGGGAGAAGAGACGCAAGGAUCCAUCAGAACAUGUCCCUCCCUGACCACCACAGGGCUGCUUCCCAGAAGAUGGUGCUCUUUCCCCGAGACUGGUGAGGGAGACCUUGGUGGAAGCACAGAGAAAAGUCAGACAAGAUAAAAGACGGUUGGGCAAGGUCAGUGAAUUUGAAGAAGGAACCAGGGCAAUGCCAGGAGUUUGCAGUGCUCAUCUGCUGGGGACUGGUGGAAGAGAUUUUGAAUGUAGGUGAAGUCACCUCACAUAUGAAAUGAACAAUACAACACUGCCAAGAUUUACUGCACAGAGCUCAACUGCUGGGUGGAGGAUAGCUGCAGUGACAGGACUAAUGCAAAUCACAUCAGGGCAUUCUGUGGACCAGUAUUUGAUGCCACAGCCACCAUGCUGCAGCUCUGCUGGAUGAUGCUGUACAUCUCCGUCCCUGCCAUCCGAUUCCAAGUGCUCACUGCGGUGUUCAACAGAAGGGCUUGUUAGAAAAAA